GUGGAUGUGCCUGGAGUGGUUAUCGGGAAUGACUAGAAAUCAUGUGGGUUUUGCCUGCGCAGUUCGAAUCCUCGCCAUUCACG
rnacentral:tRNA from 1 species